rnacentral:rRNA from 1 species
UACGUAGGGGGCUAGCGUUGUCCGGAAUCAUUGGGCGUAAAGCGCGCGUAGGCGGCCAGAUAAGUCCGGUGUGAAAGUCACAGGCUCAACCUGUGAAUGCCGCUGGAAACUGUCUGGCUAGAGUCCGGAAGGGGCGAGUGGAAUUCCUGGUGUAGCGGUGAAAUGCGCAGAUAUCAGGAGGAACACCAAUGGCGAAGGCAGCUCGCUGGGACGGUACUGACGCUGAGGCGCGAAAGCUAGGGGAGCGAACAGG